UACGUAGGGCGCAAGCGUUGUCCGGAAUUAUUGGGCGUAAAGAGCUCGUAGGCGGUUUGUCGCGUCUGCUGUGAAAACCUAGGGCUCAACCUUGGGCUUGCAGUGGGUACGGGCAGACUAGAGUGCGGUAGGGGUGACUGGAAUUCCUGGUGAUAGCGGUGGAAUGCGCAGAUAUCAGGAGGAACACCGAUGGCGAAGGCAGGUCACUGGGCCGCAAACUGACG
rnacentral:rRNA from 1 species